rnacentral:misc_RNA from 1 species
CCCCAACCCAAGAUGAAGUUAUGCAUUAUUUCUGAAUAGCAACUGCAUAUCAAACUGAUUCCACAGUUGCCAAAACUGUCAGAAUUUGAUGAAUUAAAACUAUAUAUCCUCUGAUAAUCAUCUUCUUUGUCAUGCCAUUGGCACCUGGUCCUUGUAAGUAAAUCAAGGAAAGCAAAUAAAUUGCUUCUUGUUUAAAUGUGCUUUUGAAGCAUUACUGCAGCUUUCAUCCCUUUUUGUGUAUGCUAAAUUUUCCUUGAACCCUGAUUCUUUUUAAUCUUUAGCGUGUUGACUAGCUUGUACUAUGGUUAAUUAAUCUAGCUUGUUCUUCCUUUGCCAGGGAGGUCGCGUGAAACAACAAAAAUUGAUAGGUUGCUUAUGUGCUGGUGGGCUUUC